UACGUAGGGGGCAAGCGUUGUCCGGAUUUAUUGGGCGUAAAGAGCGUGUAGGCGGCUUGGUAGGUCUCGCGUCAAAACCUGAGGCUCAACCUCAGUUCGCGUGGGAAACCACCUAGCUAGAGUCCGGAAGAGGAGAACGGUAUUCCCAGUGUAGCGGUGAAAUGCGCAGAUAUUGGGAAGAACACCAGUGGCGAAGGCGGUUCUCUGGGACGGUACUGACGCUGAGACGCGAAAGCGUGGGGAGCGAACAGG
rnacentral:rRNA from 1 species